CAGUAGCCGCGGUAAUACGGAGGGUGCAAGCGUUAAUCGGAAUUACUGGGCGUAAAGCGCACGCAGGCGGUCUGUCAAGUCGGAUGUGAAAUCCCCGGGCUCAACCUGGGAACUGCAUUCGAAACUGGCAGGCUAGAGUCUUGUAGAGGGGGGUAGAAUUCCAGGUGUAGCGGUGAAAUGCGUAGAGAUCUGGAGGAAUACCGGUGGCGAAGGCGGCCCCCUGGACAAAGACUGACGCUCAGGUGCGAAAGCGUGGGGAGCAAACAGGAUUAGAUACCCCGGUAGUCCCUGUCUCUUAUAC
rnacentral:rRNA from 1 species